rnacentral:lncRNA from 1 species
UUAAGUGCCAGUCUGCCUAAGAAUCAGGCAGUGGUGAAAACAUGACCAAAAAACCCCACCCAAUUUGACAUUGAUUUCAGUUCAUAAAAUGUAGUUAUGCACAAAAACAACAUUCAUUUCCGUUUUCUGUUCUGGUAAUAGAAGAUACAAUUUGGUUGAAAUGCACUAGAAAUUAACGAAUAAGGGGAGAUAACUCUGUAAUUUG